ACAGUGCUUUGGGCAGUAGCAAAGAUGACAGAACGCUCUCAAGAAUGACUCACAGAUGGAGAAAGCACAAGAAAACGAGGGUUUGGAAAGGGAAAGCCAGCAAACAGCGUGAGCAGUGCAGCGCUGGAGCAUGUGAGGGCAAGAAGUGUGUCUUGUUCUUCCCCAAUUAUCCUGUGUUUAAAAGCCCUAGUCCUUUCAGUCAGUGUUCUGAACGUCCUUCCAUGUGUUCCUAUGUUCCCCUUGUGAUUGGAUUAUUCAAGACCGUGAUAUUGAGGGCCACACCAGACUGUUCCUGGUCCUGGCAAGCCUCACCAACUAUCCGCGAUGCACUGUGCGUUCUACGAUGCCAGUAUGAACAUCACAUGCAGAGCGCCGUCGUCCGAGGAUGGUCCUUGAGCAAAUUUCGCCACCUUCAUGGAGUAGACACUGGCGAGAAAUGGAUCUCUGUUGCCCGCCGGUUCCCAGGAGUUUAUCACCAGUGCCAUUCUUGACCCAGAGCUCAGCCCACCAUCUCCCCGCAGCACGGAGCAUCAGCCCGAGCCCACUGAUGACCGAUUCCCGCCACGAUCUGCAAGCCAGAGCAAAGCCAAGCGACUGAGCAGAGGAUCGCCCCGGAAGUUGAGCCCAACCUGUCAGACCAGGUUCGAGAGCCGGCUACAGAGCCCAACAUGAGGGAGAAAUCCGCAGAUGGUGUGAGCGCAGAGAG
ensembl:lncRNA